rnacentral:rRNA from 1 species
GACGAACGCUGGCGGCGUGCUUAACACAUGCAAGUCGAACGGAAAGGCCCUGCUUUUGUGGGGUGCUCGAGUGGCGAACGGGUGAGUAACACGUGAGUAACCUGCCCUUGACUUUGGGAUAACUUCAGGAAACUGGGGCUAAUACCGGAUAGGAGCUCCUGCCGCAUGGUGGGGGUUGGAAAGUUUCGGCGGUUGGGGAUGGACUCGCGGCUUAUCAGCUUGUUGGUGGGGUAGUGGCUUACCAAGGCUUUGACGGGUACCCGGCCUGAGAGGGUGACCGGCCACAUUGGGACUGAGAUACGGCCCAGACUCCUACGGGAGGCAGCAGUGGGGAAUAUUGCACAAUGGGCGGAAGCCUGAUGCAGCAACGCCGCGUGCGGGAUGACGGCCUUCGGGUUGUAAACCGCUUUCGCCUGUGACGAAGCGUGAGUGACGGUAAUGGGUAAAGAAGCACCGGCUAACUACGUG